GAUGAACGCUAGCGGCAGGCUUAACACAUGCAAGUCGAGGGGUAUAGGUUUUCGGACCUAGAGACCGGCGCACGGGUGCGUAACGCGUAUGCAAUCUACCUUUCACAGAGGGAUAGCCCAGAGAAAUUUGGAUUAAUACCUCAUAGUAUAGCAGUUUCGCAUGAAACCACUAUUAAAGUUCCAACGGUGAAAGAUGAGCAUGCGUCCCAUUAGCUAGAUGGUAAGGUAACGGCUUACCAUGGCUACGAUGGGUAGGGGUCCUGAGAGGGAGAUUCCCCCCACUGGUACUGAGAAACGGACCAGACGCCUACGGGAGGCAGCAGUGAGGAAUAUUGGUCAAUGGACGCAAGUCUGGACCAGCCAUGCCGCGUGCAGGAUGACGGUCCUAUGGAUUGUAAACUGCUUUUAUACAGGAAGAAACGACGCUUGCGAGAGGCAUUGACGGUACUGUAUGAAUAAGCACCGGCUAACUCCGUGCCAGCCGCCGCCGUAACAC
rnacentral:rRNA from 1 species